UAGCUUACUAUCUGUAUGCUAGGAAUACUGCUAUACUAGAGGGCGGGAGAGGUCUGAGGUACUACAGGGGUAGGGGUGAAAUCUUAUAAUCCUUGUAGGACCACCAGUGGCGAAGGCGUCAGACUGGAACGCGCCUGACGGUGAGGGACGAAAGCCAGGGGAGCGAACCGGAUUAGAUACCCGGGUAGUCCUGGCCGUAAACGAUGCAUACUAGGUGAUGGUGCGGCCAUGAGCCGUAUCAGUGCCGUAGGGAAACCGUUAAGUGUGCCGCCUGGGAAGUACGGUCGCAAGGCUAAAACUUAAAGGAAUUGGCGGGGGAGCACCACAAGGGGUGAAGCCUGCGGUUCAAUUGGACUCAACGCCGGAAAACUUACCAGGGAAGACAGUAGAAUGAUGGUCAGGUUGACGACCUUACCUAACGAGCUGAGAGGAGGUGCAUGGCCGUCGCCAGUUCGUGCCGUGAGGUAUCCUGUUAAGUCAGGCAACGAACGAGAUCCGCGCCUUUAUUUGCCAUCAAGAAGUCACGACUUCGUUGGGAACACUAAAGGGACCGCCGUCGAUAAGACGGAGGAAGGAGCGGGCAAAGGCAGGUCAGUAUGCCCCGAAAAUCGU
rnacentral:rRNA from 1 species